UACAGAGGUCUCAAGCGAUUGUUUCGGAUUCAUUGGGCGUAAAGGGUGCGUAGGCGGCGCGGUAAGUCGGGGUGUGAAAUCUCGGAGCUUAACUCCGAAACUGCAUUCGAUACUGCCGUGCUUGAGGACUGGAGAGGAGACUGGAAUUUACGGUGUAGUGGUGAAAUGCGUAGAUAUCGUAAGGAAGACCAGUGGCGAAGGCGGGUCUCUGGACAGUUCCUGACGCUGAGGCACGAAGGCCAGGGGAGCAAACAGG
rnacentral:rRNA from 1 species